UACGUAGGGUGCGAGCGUUGUCCGGAAUUAUUGGGCGUAAAGAGCUCGUAGGCGGUGUGUCACGUCGGCCGUGAAAACCUGGGGCUUAACUCUGGGCGUGCGGUCGAUACGGGCAUCACUAGAGUUCGGCAGGGGAGACUGGAACUCCUGGUGUAGCGGUGGAAUGCGCAGAUAUCAGGAAGAACACCGGUGGCGAAGGCGGCUCUCUGGGCCUUACCUGACGCUGAGGAGCGAAAGCGUGGGUAGCGAACAGG
rnacentral:rRNA from 1 species